UUUAUAUAGUUUAUUAAAACAUUACAUUUUCAUUGUAAAAUUAAAUUCUAUUUUAUAG
rnacentral:tRNA from 1 species